GACAGAGGAUGCAAGCGUUGUCCGGAAUCAUUGGGCGUAAAGAGCGUGUAGGCGGUCCGGUCAGUCGGUUGUGAAAGUCAAGGGCUCAACCCUUGAAUGCCGGCCGAUACUGCCGGGCUAGAGUCCGGAAGAGGUGAGUGGAAUUCCUGGUGUAGCGGUGAAAUGCGCAGAUAUCAGGAGGAACACCGAUGGCGAAGGCAGCUCACUGGGACGGUACUGACGCUGAGACGCGAAAGCGUGGGGAGCAAACAGG
rnacentral:rRNA from 1 species